GGUGAAAAGCACCCCGGAAGGGGAGUGAAAUAGAACCUGAAACCGUGUGCUUACAAGUAGUCAGAGCCCGUUAAUGGGUGAUGGCGUGCCUUUUGUAGAAUGAACCGGCGAGUUACGAUUUGAUGCAAGGUUAAGCAGUAAAUGUGGAGCCGUAGCGAAAGCGAGUCUGAAUAGGGCGUUUAGUAUUUGGUCGUAGACCCGAAACCAGGUGAUCUACCCUUGGUCAGGUUGAAGUUCAGGUAACACUGAAUGGAGGACCGAACCGACUUACGUUGAAAAGUGAGCGGAUGAACUGAGGGUAGCGGAGAAAUUCCAAUCGAACCUGGAGAUAGCUGGUUCUCUCCGAAAUAGCUUUAGGGCUAGCCUCAAGUGAUGAUUAUUGGAGGUAGAGCACUGUUUGGACGAGGGGCCCCUCUCGGGUUACCGAAUUCAGACAAACUCCGAAUGCCAAUUAAUUUAACUUGGGAGUCAGAACAUGGGUGAUAAGGUCCGUGUUCGAAAGGGAAACAGCCCAGACCACCAGCUAAGGUCCCAAAAUAUAUGUUAAGUGGAAAAGGAUGUGGCGUUGCCCAGACAACUAGGAUGUUGGCUUAGAAGCAGCCAUCAUUUAAAGAGUGCGUAAUAGCUCACUAGUCGAGUGACACUGCGCCGAAAAUGUACCGGGGCUAAACAUAUUACCGAAGCUGUGGAUUGUCCUUUGGACAAUGGUAGGAGAGCGUUCUAAGGGCGUUGAAGCAUGAUCGUAAGGACAUGUGGAGCGCUUAGAAGUGAGAAUGCCGGUGUGAGUAGCGAAAGACGGGUGAGAAUCCCGUCCACCGAUUGACUAAGGUUUCCAGAGGAAGGCUCGUCCGCUCUGGGUUAGUCGGGUCCUAAGCUGAGGCCGACAGGCGUAGGCGAUGGAUAACAGGUUGAUAUUCCUGUACCACCUAUAAUCGUUUUAAUCGAUGGGGGGACGCAGUAGGAUAGGCGAAGCGUGCGAUUGGAUUGCACGUCUAAGCAGUAAGGCUGAGUAUUAGGCAAAUCCGGUACUCAUUAAGGCUGAGCUGUGAU
rnacentral:rRNA from 1 species